rnacentral:rRNA from 1 species
CCUACGGGAGGCAGCAGUGAGGAAUAUUGGUCAAUGGGCGAGAGCCUGAACCAGCCAAGUCGCGUGAGGGAAGACGGUCCUAUGGAUUGUAAACCUCUUUUGCCGGGGAGCAAAAAGCGGUACGUGUACCGCAUCGAGAGUACCCGGAGAAAAAGCAUCGGCUAACUCCGUGCCAGCAGCCGCGGUAAUACGGAGGGAGCGAGCGUUGUCCGGAAUUACUGGGUGUAAAGGGAGCGUAGGCGGGACUGCAAGUUGGGUGUCAAAUCUACCGGCUCAACCGGUAGCCGCACUCAAAACUGCAGUUCUUGAGUGAAGUAGAGGCAGGCGGAAUUCCUAGUGUAGCGGUGAAAUGCGUAGAUAUUAGGAGGAACACCAGUGGCGAAGGCGGCCUGCUGGGCUUUUACUGACGCUGAGGCUCGAAAGUGUGGGGAGCAAACAGGAUUAGAUACCCGGGUAGUC